UACGGAGGGGGCAAGCGUUAUUCGGAAUCAUUGGGCGUAAAGGGUGCGUAGGCGGCGCGGUAAGUCGGGUGUGAAAUCUCGGGGCUUAACUCCGAAACUGCAUUCGAUACUGCGGUGCUUGAGGACUGGAGAGGAGACUGGAAUUUACGGUGUAGCAGUGAAAUGCGUAGAGAUCGUAAGGAAGACCAGUGGCGAAGGCGGGUCUCUGGACAGUUCCUGGCACUGAGGCACGAAGGCCAGGGGAGCAAACGGG
rnacentral:rRNA from 1 species